CUUAGUUUCUGAUACAGGGUUUGAGGACUGCAUGCGGGAGACGGAGGCUUGGUUUCUGAUACAGGAUUUGGAUGUGACAAGCUUACAAACCGAUCACAAUUUUGUCUGACAAACUUAGACGGUCGCCUAAUGCCCUUAAUUACAAAAAAUGACAGAAUAGUUGUCUGUGUCCUAAUAUAUUUAUGGGUGAAAGUGUUUAGCGUAGAGCUGACGAGACUUGCACGUCCAUGACUCCCAAAGAAAUCCAUAGAGGGAAGGGCAAGAAAAAUCAAUCAUUCCCAAGACUCCAAUCUGCAUCCUGAAAUACUUUUCCCCAAGUGGCGAGGGCAUAAGCGGACAACCUGCCGACCAAACGUGUGACUAACAAAUGUGUAUGAUAGUAAGCAAGAUCAAGCAUAUACGAGGGCUGUUCGAUAUGUAAUGUGUAUUUUAGUUUUAAAUUUUUUUUUACGAAAUCUCAAAAGUAUUCGACUCAAAUAGUGAAAUGAACAUUACCAAUCUAAUUAAAAUUAGCUCUAUCACUUGCUCUUGUUUAUUGAUAUGUCGCGCGUGGUAGAUCUAACGUAACCCGAUUUGAAGCUCGUUUGAAUGACCGGAGGUCAAGAAAUUUUUCGUCCAAUCAGAUAACCACUUUCGGGAUCUUGAAAGUGCCAAUAGGCAAGGGAAGCAACCUACCUCGCUAAUUAUCGAUCUUUCGGAAUCUUUCGGGGAUUGGCCUCGAUUGCACAAAAAAGCCCAAUAGUCCCGAUCGUAUUUAUUAUUUCCGGUUUAUCGAAAAACAAAAAACAGCAUGGUAAGAUUCCCACUUAUGAGACGUUUUGAUGGCAUUCCAAAGCCCAUUCACGCCUAGACGUAUAUAUAAUAGGUCAAAUAUAUGUGUGCUAUGUGGAUUCUUGUUUAUUCAAGUGGAAAUUUCAUCGACUGGGGAAAGAACGGAGAAAAAGUUUCUUAACAAAAAACUAAAACUUACCGAUGAACGAAUCAAGGCUAUAACUUCGGUUAUUGACAGCUUCAAGCACGAUUCCAGUAUUUCUACAAAUGGCAUUUGCCUUAAGUGUUUCAGAAAUGUCGAAAAGGUGUUGCACAUGGAGAAUGAGGUGUGUAAACUUCAAAAUGAGAUUUCAGCAACCAGACGUUUUGUCAAACAGAAAUACCAACUUGCCUCACCAUCACCAUCCAAAUCUGUCACAGAAAAACGACUUCUCAGAUCCCCCUCUACAAAUGUACCAGCUGCUAAAUCGCAAAAAACCUUUCCCUCGACUGUGUCAGUUAUAAACUUAACUUCACUUCCAACGUUUGAUUCAUUAUGUCAAAAAGGUGCAGAAAAAGCAGAUUUGCCAGAUGUUUUGGCAACUCAACUAGAGGAAAGGAAACCUGUUCGCCGCUCCCUGGGAUUUAGCGAGACAAAAAAGAUUGAUGAGUCUACACUUACAGGCGAAGUAGAGGUAAUAGAAAUGUUGCAUGAACAAUAACAUGUUUGCAUAAAUUCCCUGUUGGAUAUUUGUAGUUAGUUUGCAUUCAGUUGUAUGAAAACAAAUUUUUGCAGUUUCCUUUAUUUAGACACGGACCAUUCGAUUUAGGGGGCUUUGUUUUGUACCUCAGUCAGAUUAUUUAUUUUAGUACAGUCUACAAGUAAAGUUAAAAAAAAUUGUUGGCAAAAUAUUUUUUCAAUGGCAAAAUAUUUAGCCGGAUUAUUUUUUCAAGAGCACACCCAGCCAGAUUACUCUCAAGAAACAACCACCCCCCUUCUUCAUUAAAAUUAAAUGGUUCAUGUCUAAUGCGAAUUAAUUAUUGUGCCCUGAUAUUGAAUUCCUAGCAUAUCUGUAUAAAAUUCAGCCGUUUAAUACUAAAGUACAUUACAUUUGCAUUACACAAAAUGCUUUAAUUUUGCAAUUGUGGCAAUCACAGCGUUUUGACAGAUCUUGAUAUAGAUAAUAUAUAUUUUCUUUUUAAAUGUACAAAAAUUAAAACAUCAAUUGAAAGAUGAAAGCAUAGAUUUGUUGUUAUAAAAUUAUCUAAUGAUUAUGACUUCAUUUACUUGAUUUUGGUACUUUUUUCCUUGAAUAAUACAUUUAUGCUAGUAUGUGUGUGUCAUUUCAUGUGAAUAACAAGCAUUUGUUUAAUUAACAAACAUUUGAAAUUGAUUCAGUUUGCAUUUAUGACAGUAACUUACUAACACAGAUACAUGUAAUGUAAUUAAUGCUACAAAAUACACAGGCUGUGGAUUUUAUUUAUACAGUACAGUCAGUUAUACAGAUCAUGAAGAAACCUAUGGCCAUAGAAUCCGCUUUCACAUGUUUAAUAUCAAGAUCCACUACUGUUUGAAAACAUUUUUUAAUGUAGACGGCAAGAUGUCCUUUAUGGAUCAUACAUUUGUGUAUUUCAUCAAUGGUAUUUUAAUGAAAUUAUUGUUUAUUGAUUUUGGUAAUAUUUCAAGUAAAUUUACACAUUGUUAAACAUUCAUGUCUAAUAACAUGAAUAUUUCUUUUACAAAUGUAUUGCAGCUUACAAUGUAGGUAUUAAGAAAUGUUAUUUUUUAAUCCAUAGUUGAAAGUUAUGUAUGUUAAUUAUUUAAUUGCAUGUUGUUUUUACUCACAUUGUUUACAUUUCAGGAGUUUCAGAUUAAAAAUGUGCAUGUUUCUGUUUACAUCUUGUUCGAAAUCAAUUGCAGAAAACGAUGAAGGUAAUAUUUCUUAACAAUAGACUAGUCUAUAUGAGUUUGCGUUAAGGCUUAAAUUUUUUGUGACUGUUUACUUUUUCAGUUUAAAAAUUGAUAAAGGAUAUAAUGUGCAUUAUGUACAUGUAAACAUAUGAAAAUGAAAAUACACAUUAUGGGGUAAGUGUCAAAGAGACUGUAUCCAUCCAUGAGGAAAAAAUGUAAAAAUCUAGAGGUCUCCACAAGGCCUUGAACAAGGAUGCAAUUCUAUUCCUAAAAAAAAAUUCUUUUAAUUUUUUUUAGUUCUUUUAAGUAUUUUUCUAGAUAUUAACCAAAUUUUUAUCAAACAAUAGGUACUUGAAUGUUUCAAACAAAAAUAGUGUAUUCUCAAAACAUUUAUGGAUAAUGAAAAAAAAUCACUCAUUUGCUCCAGGCAACAAAAUAGAUACAUGUAUAUACAUUGUAAAGAAUAGUCUUAUUUAUAUAUUUAAAUGAUUCUUAGUCAAAAUGGUGCAAAUAAUAAUUUUUUCUUAUGGAAGAUUAUAUUCAUUAAAUAUUCAUAUACAUGUACAUUGUACAACAUGUAUUUAUUUCAAAGAAACAUACCAUUGUUAUAUUAUAUUCUUAUUGUUCAUCAUAGGUUUCCAUUUAUUACCCUAGUGGUAAGAAAACAACUUUUGUUCCAAAUGACAAUCAUCGCCAAAUAUGUAGGACAAUAUGCAGGGGACAAAAUGUAGAAAGAAACAUCAUUGAAAUUAUUGGAAGGUCACACCAAGAUGUGCUUACAACAGCAGUUUCAAAGCUUGUAGCCAAAGAAUGUGAAACCAUCUGUAAACGAGGAUCAGGGGCAUUACUACAAGACAGAGCAUAUGAUGGCAUAUUUCAAUUUUCCUGGGACAAAUUUCACAAAGAAAUUGAAGUGAAAGCCCCAAAUACAUUGAAGAUAAUUUCAUCAACCAUAAGCAACAUACCGGUAGUACCAACUGAAAAGAAAUUCUUAUGCAUCAUGAGUACAGUAGCUUCAGCAUUACAUGGAAGGAGCCAGGAGAUGUCAUCACUCCACUACCAAAUAGGAUUUAUACUGACCCGCGGAACAUGUAAACAGAAGGAUAUUGAAAGACUGGCAAAAAUUGGACUUAGUGUUACACCAAAAUCUAUUCAACAGAAAUUAUUAUCUUGGCAAGACCAUUUAGACAAAGAAAUUGUAGAAUUAAGAGAUAAAUGGAAGGAAGGAGGCAAUGUGAAAUUUCAAUUGAUUGGAGAUAAUUGGGACAAAACUAUAUUGCCAUCCUAUAGAACCAGUCAAGACAAAACAAUUUCUCUUCACUUAUUUCAUAUAUUUGCUCUCAUUGAUCGUGUUUCUGGAGAUGAAGAUGUAAACCAAAUCCAAAUUGAAAGAAAACUUAGUGUUGUUGAUUUUAUCCCAUCACUAGAAGACCAAAACAAGCUGAAGAAAGAACUGACAUUCCUAAUUGCCUCCUCCUUGAUACAUAACAUUGAAAUUUUGGACAAGGAAUUUGGAAAAAUUUAUCCAAGUCAUUUUCAGCAUGAAUAUAGUGACA